AUAUCAGUCAUGCAUAGCAUAUCAAUAAGCGGAGGAAAAGAAACUAACAAGGAUUCCCUUAGUAACGGCGAGUGAAGCGGGAAGAGCUCAAAUUUGAAAUCUUCAAGGUUUUACCUUGACGAAUUGUAGUUUAAAGAAGUGUUUUCUGUUGAAGUUUUGGUAAAAGUUCUUUGGAAUAGGACAUCAUAGAGGGUGAGAAUCCCGUAUUUGACCAUUACUUUCAGCUUUGUGAUACACUUUCAAUGAGUCGGAUUGUUUGGGAAUGCAGUCCAAAAUGGGUGGUAAAUUUCAUCUAAAGCUAAAUAUUGGCGAGAGACCGAUAGCGAACAAGUACCGUGAGGGAAAGAUGAAAAGAACUUUGAAAAGAGAGUUAAACAGUACGUGAAAUUGUCAAAAGGGAAGCGUUUGACACCAGUGUUGUUUUCUCGAAAAUCAAUUAAAAAGAGUUGGAUUCUGUGUUGUAUUGACUUUAUCGGCUUUCUUCACUCUUUUCCAGCUUUUUUUAACUGCACUUUUCGUUUAACAAGUCAACAUCAGUUUCUUUUGUUGUGAAAAGGUCAUGGAAGGUGGCUUUCUCUUCGGAGAAAGUGUUUAUAGCCUUUGACUCAUGCAAUCGGAGAGACUGAGGUCUGCAGCGUAGAUCCUUCGGGGUUAGAUACAUUUGUGCUAAGUUAUAGCUUUUCAUAGACAACUUGUUGACUAUGUUUAGUCUUGUAGCUUACUUGCUUAUGCUAUUUUACCUACGCUUAGGAUGUUGAACUCUAUCACACAGCAG
rnacentral:rRNA from 1 species